rnacentral:siRNA from 1 species
UGGAAAGUGCCUAAACGUGUAAUA